CCUACGGGAGGCAGCAGUAGGGAAUCUUCCGCAAUGGACGAAAGUCUGACGGAGCAACGCCGCGUGAACGAUGAAGGCCUUCGGGUCGUAAAGUUCUGUUGUUAGGGAAGAACAAGUGCUAGUUGAAUAAGCUGGCACCUUGACGGUACCUAACCAGGAAGCCACGGCUAACUACGUGCCAGCAGCCGCGGUAAUACGUAGGUGGCAAGCGUUGUCCGGAAUUAUUGGGCGUAAAGCGCGCGCAGGCGGUUUCUUAAGUCUGAUGUGAAAGCCCCCGGCUCAACCGGGGAGGGUCAUUGGAAACUGGGAAACUUGAGUGCAGAAGAGGAAAGUGGAAUUCCAAGUGUAGCGGUGAAAUGCGUAGAGAUUUGGAGGAACACCAGUGGCGAAGGCGACUUUCUGGUCUGUAACUGACGCUGAGGCGCGAAAGCGUGGGGAGCAAACAGGAUUAGAUACCCUGGUAGUCCACGCUGUAAACGAUGAGUGCUAAGUGUUAGAGGGUUUCCGCCCUUUAGUGCUGAAGUUAACGCAUUAAGCACUCCGCCUGGGGAUACGGUCGCAAGACUGAAACUCAAAAUGAAUUGACGG
rnacentral:rRNA from 1 species